rnacentral:tRNA from 1 species
GCGGCCAUAGCUCAGUUGGCAGAGCGUCGGCUUGUGGUGCCGAAUGUCACGGGUUCGAGCCCCGUUGGUCGCCCCA